rnacentral:lncRNA from 1 species
CAAAGCCCGCGAACAGGAAUAUUCCAAGUUCAGACAGAAGGGGGGAGUCAGCUCGCUCUGAUCGCCAGGAACUUUACUUUUGGUGUCUAUUUUUAAUUGUCGCACUAUUGGUGCUGACUGUUGAUGUUAGGUAGGCAGCUACAGUAGCUGAAUGAUGUUAACAUCUUCGGGUUUUGUUUCAUUAAAUGCAUUUAAUUUCAUCUGGGUGCUUGCGUUACCUACUAACACCCUGGUACCCGUAGCUCCCGUUCUCCUCAGUCCGAGAAAACACUGAGAGAAAGGUAUGUGUUGCAGAUUACUCCUUUGUAGAAGUCCAUAACGUGAAAUAAAUAAAACAUCCCAAGAUUAAUGCUGUAUAUAUUGUUAUAAGUUAGUGUGAGAUUAUUGAAACAUGUAACUUUCAGAGUUUUAUUAUUGUUAUUAAUAUAGUUUACAAAGUGCUAAAAGUGCUGCUGUUGCUAGCUAGCAUGCCUUUCUGUGAUGCAGAUGGUUAGCUGAGCUGUCGACUGGUGCUUGCGUUGCAUUAUGGGAGAUGUAGUUUUGGCCCUCUAAGGUCUGAAUGGGAAAGAGACAAUUUCACGUUUUACUUGUUUGUGUUGCAGUGUUUUUGUACAUGAGUUGUAUUUUGGUACUGUAUUUUGGUACUGUCAACACUGAAAGCACCUAGCAAUGUAUUGGGUAUGUGUUUUACCUUUCUUCAUGCUCCUGUGUAGAACAACUUGUCAGAUGGUGCAUUGGAGACUGAUGUGUUCCUGUUCUGUCUUUUCAUAAUACCAUUGCAGGUGGACUCCAAUCAAGUUGUAGGAACAUCUCAAGGAUGACCAAUGGAAACAGGAUGCACCUGAGCUCAAUUUCAAGUCUCAUAGCAAAGGGUCUGAACAAGCAGAUUCUUUUAACUCUUCUGCAAGCUGCUCUGUGGAUGUUGUUGGUUCAUCAGAUUCUGAUGACACUGUUACUCUGACACAAAGUCCUAGCAGAAACAGGAGAGCAGAGGAAGAUAGUGCAGCCAAACAAGUCCCGCACGACAUGUGAAGGAAGCAUAUGCAAGAGGAAUAGUUUCCUUCUUUCCGUACCUGGCCGACCCCAAAAGCAAGACUGACUAUGCCGCAACAAGCCGGGAAAGAUGUCAGCAAGACACGCAGCUGAACAUCUUGUGAAGUUCAUGAAGGUAAUGGCUUCCUGAAGUUCUCCAAGCAGCUGAUUGGUCAGCCCCAUUGCUGAUUGGAGAGCUGACCCCGCCCCCUCGUCAGGACGCAGCUGUCUCAAUUAACAACCCCAAUAUAAGCCAGUGUGCUGUUGCUCAGAGAAAGAGAGAGACACAGAGAUUUUUGCUGAGAGAGGAGGUUGAUGGCAGAGGGUUAUAUAUAUAUAUAUAUAUAUAUAUAUAUAUAUAUAUAUAUAUAUAUAUGUAUGUAUGUAUGUUGGUUGUUUCUCAGAAAGAGAAUUGGGUAUGUACUGAGUUAGUUGUUGCUGAGAAAGCUUAUUGUUAUGUUCUGUGUUUAGUGCUCAGAGUUUUCUUUAAUGUCCUGGGUUAGUGUUUUCUCAGGUUUUGUUGUAAAGUAGUUUGUACAUUUGUGUUACUCUGUUUCAUUUGUUCCCAGAGGGGAAGGGGAAGGCACCUAGGCAGUGCUUAGGCAAGAGGCCCGCGGGCAUACAUAUACCGUAGUAAUUUAUUGUCUAUGCACACUAGGAAAGACCUGGGCGGACCAUCCCCUGUAUUUUGGUUAGUGCACCAGGUGGUGCUAGUUAGGUAAGUAGUGGGUAGGCAGGUAAGGUAGGAGAGGGGGCUUUGAUAUUUAGUUUCUUUGCUUUGGUUCGGUCCAGCCCCUUUUCCCCAAACUUACCGCGUGAAGGAAUAAAUUCCCAGUAAACGGUA